rnacentral:rRNA from 1 species
UCGGUAAUUCCAGCUCCAUUAGCGUAUAUUAACGUUGUUGCAGUUAAAAAGCUCGUAGUUGGAUUUGUGGUUCGUUGCGCGGUCCCAAUAUUAUGUUGGGUGCUGUCGCGAGGAGCCAUCCUUGGGUGGAAUCUGUGUGGCAUUAGGUUGUCGCGCAGGGGAUGCCCAUCGUUUACUGUGAAAAAAUUAGAGUGUUCAAAGCAGGCUUAUGCCGUUGAAUAUAUUAGCAUGGAAUAAUGAGAUAGGACCUUGGUACUAUUUUGUUGGUUUGCGCACCGAGGUAAUGAUUAAUAGGGACAGUUGGGGGUAUUCGUAUUCCAUUGUCAGAGGUGAAAUUCUUGGAUUUCUGGAAGACGAACUACUGCGAAAGCAUUUACCAAGGAUGUUUUCAUUAAUCAAGAACGAAAGUUAGGGGAUCGAAGAUGAUUAGAUACCAUCGUAGUCUUAACCAUAAACUAUGCCGGUUAGGGAUUGGCAGGGCUUCGUUAUGUCUCUGUCAGCACCUUAUGAGAAAUCAUUAAACUUUUGGGUUCCGGGGGGAGUAUGGUCGCAAGGCUGAAACUUAAAGAAAUUGACGGA